rnacentral:rRNA from 1 species
GACGAACGCUGGCGGCGUGCUUAACACAUGCAAGUCGAACGGAAAGGCCAGGAUUUUGCGGGUCUGACGGUAGCGGAGGGGGGGUGAACAACACGGGAAUCACCCCCUUAUUUUAGGGGAACAUCUGGGAAAAGGGGGAACUAACAGCGGAGAAGAUCUUGUACCUGGUGGGGGAUUGGAAAAUUAGGGUGUUGGGGGUAGACUUUGGGGUUACCAGGUUGCUUGUGGAGGUGGGGAAUGCCACGGCUUUGAACGGUAGCCGGCCUGAGAGGGUGACCGGGCACAUUGGGACUACGAGACGGCCCAGACGCCUACGGGAGGCAGUAGGGGGGAACAUUGCACAACGGGCGGAAGCCUGAUGCAGCAACGCCGCGUGCGGGAUGACGGCCUUCUGGGUGUAAACCGCUUUCUCCGGUGACGAAGCGUGAGUGACGGUAAUGGGUAAAGAAGCACCGGCUAACUACGUG